ensembl:lncRNA
AACAUUUCCUUUCAUGGUAAAAAUGAAGAGGACUUUUUUGGUUUUUUUUUGUGAUAAUGUUGAUAUUAAUAGGUUACAGCAUCUAUCAGUGGAAAGCUGUGAGAGAAGAGAAGUGAACACAGCUCUAAUUAGACAUGGGGUGAUCAAACAGAAUCGAGUAUUUUCCACAAAGUCUAAUUAAAGGUAUAAUCUGUGAUGGUGGUUUUGAAGUUAGCUGAAUGUGGCUGUUUUCAAACACACAAAAAUACAUACUAUCUUUUAAUUUCCUCCUUUCAAAGACCUUAAAUUCUGUCCUAGUAGUGAUAUACUUACUUAGUCCUCUGAUAGAUUUAAUAUAUUUUGGUUUUGUUUGUGUCAGGUUGGGUUGGGUUGGGUUAGAUUGGGUUGUGGUAGAUUGGGUUGGGUUAGGUUAGAUUGGGUUAAAUUAGAUUGGGUUGGGUUAGGUUAGAUUGGUUUAAAUUAGAUUGGAUUGGGUUAAAUUAGAUUGGGUUGUGGUAGAUUGGGUUGGGUUAGGUUAGAUUGGGUUGUAGUAGAUUUGGUUAGGGUAGAUUUGGUUAGGUUAAGUUAGGGUAAAUUUUGGCUGGGUUAGGGUAGAUUGGAUUAGGUUAAAUUAGAUUGGUAAGUAUAGAUCGGGUUGGGUUAGGGUAGAUUGGGAUGGGUUAGGGUGGAUUGGGAUGGGCUAGGGUAGAUCAGGUUGGGUUAGGGUAGAUUGGGAUGGGUUAGGGUAGAUUGGAUUUAGUUGAGGUGGGUACUUAGGUUGAGUUGGGUUCUUGAUCAUCUUCCUUUUACAUCUUUGUUUUUUUUAUUGAAGCAAAAAAUAAUCUGUCAUCCGACACCUAUCACCAAUGUGAAAAAUUCAUUGCCCCUUUAAAAUCUGGUUCUCACUUUUAGCAGUAGUAACUGCAACCAAAUGCUUCUGAUAACUGAGAUCAGUCUUUCACUUCUAGGACUAGGAUUUACUCCUAUGCUUUGGAUCAUUGUCUUGCUGCAUGAUCCAGUUGUGUUUGAGUUUCAAAUUACAGACUGAAGACCGGACGUUCUCCUUUAGGAUUUUCUGGUAGAGAGGCAAGUUGCCCAGGCCCUGAAGCAGAAAAGCAUCCCCACACCAUCACACUUCCACCACCAUGCUUGACCAUAGGUAUGAUGUUCUUUCUGUGGAGUUUGAUGUUUGGUUUACGCCAGAUGUAACGCAACACCCGUCCUCCAAACAGUUCCACUUUCGACUCAUCAAUCCACUUAACAUUUUCCCAAAAGGUUUGAGGAUCAUCAAGGUGUGUUUUGGCAAAAUUCAGACGAGCCUUAAUGUUCUUCUGGGUUAGCAGUGGUUUUCACCUCACCACUCUUCCAUGGACGCCAUUUUUGCCCCAGUGUCUUUCUGAUAGUGGAGUCAUGAACAGUGACCUUUAUUGAUGCAAGAGAGGCAUGAAAUUCCUUUGAUGUUGUCCUUGGCUCUUUGUGACUUCCUGGAUGAGUCGUCACUGUGCUCCUGGAGGAAUUUUGGAAGGUCGGCCACUUCUGGGAAGGUUCACUACUGUGCUGAGUUUUUCCAUUUGGAGAUAACGGCUGUCACUGUAGUUCUUUGGAGUCCCAGAGCCUUUGAAAUAGCUUUGUAACCCUUCCCAGACUGAUGCAUUUCAAUCACCUUCUUCCUCAUCAUUUCUGGAAUUUCUUUCAAUUUUGGCGUAGUGUGUUACUGAGUAAGACCUUUUAACCAACUCCAUACUGUUGAAAAAGUUGUAUUUAAGUGUUGAUGUGAUUGAACAGGGUUUGCAGUAAUCAGGCCUGGUUGUGUCUAGUCCAGCUGAACUCCAUUAUGAAUGCAGUUUCCUAGAUUUGCGGAAUUAGUAACUACGGGAGCAAAUACAUUUGCACACAGGCUCAGUUGGUAUGGA